rnacentral:rRNA from 1 species
AGAGUUUGAUCAUGGCUCAGAUUGAACGCUGGCGGCAGGCCUAACACAUGCAAGUCGAACGGUAACAGGAAACAGCUUGCUGUUUCGCUGACGAGUGGCGGACGGGUGAGUAAUGUCUGGGAAACUGCCUGAUGGAGGGGGAUAACUACUGGAAACGGUAGCUAAUACCGCAUAACGUCGCAAGACCAAAGAGGGGGACCUUCGGGCCUCUUGCCAUCAGAUGUGCCCAGAUGGGAUUAGCUAGUAGGUGGGGUAACGGCUCACCUAGGCGACGAUCCCUAGCUGGUCUGAGAGGAUGACCAGCCACACUGGAACUGAGACACGGUCCAGACUCCUACGGGAGGCAGCAGUGGGGAAUAUUGCACAAUGGGCGCAAGCCUGAUGCAGCCAUGCCGCGUGUAUGAAGAAGGCCUUCGGGUUGUAAAGUACUUUCAGCGGGGAGGAAGGGAGUAGAGUUAAUACCUUUGCUCAUUGACGUUACCCGCAGAAGAAGCACCGGCUAACUCCGUGCCAGCAGCCGCGGUAAUACGGAGGGUGCAAGCGUUAAUCGGAAUUACUGGGCGUAAAGCGCACGCAGGCGGUUUGUUAAGUCAGAUGUGAAAUCCCCGGGCUCAACCUGGGAACUGCAUCUGAUACUGGCAAGCUUGAGUCUCGUAGAGGGGGGUAGAAUUCCAGGUGUAGCGGUGAAAUGCGUAGAGAUCUGGAGGAAUACCGGUGGCGAAGGCGGCCCCCUGGACGAAGACUGACGCUCAGGUGCGAAAGCGUGGGGAGCAAACAGGAUUAGAUACCCUGGUAGUCCACGCCGUAAACGAUGUCGACUUGGAGGUUGUGCCCUUGAGGCGUGGCUUCCGGAGCUAACGCGUUAAGUCGACCGCCUGGGGAGUACGGCCGCAAGGUUAAAACUCAAAUGAAUUGACGGGGGCCCGCACAAGCGGUGGAGCAUGUGGUUUAAUUCGAUGCAACGCGAAGAACCUUACCUGGUCUUGACAUCCACGGAAGUUUUCAGAGAUGAGAAUGUGCCUUCGGGAACCGUGAGACAGGUGCUGCAUGGCUGUCGUCAGCUCGUGUUGUGAAAUGUUGGGUUAAGUCCCGCAACGAGCGCAACCCUUAUCCUUUGUUGCCAGCGGUCCGGCCGGGAACUCAAAGGAGACUGCCAGUGAUAAACUGGAGGAAGGUGGGGAUGACGUCAAGUCAUCAUGGCCCUUACGACCAGGGCUACACACGUGCUACAAUGGCGCAUACAAAGAGAAGCGACCUCGCGAGAGCAAGCGGACCUCAUAAAGUGCGUCGUAGUCCGGAUUGGAGUCUGCAACUCGACUCCAUGAAGUCGGAAUCGCUAGUAAUCGUGGAUCAGAAUGCCACGGUGAAUACGUUCCCCGGCCUUGUACACACCGCCCGUCACACCAUGGGAGUGGGUUGCAAAAGAAGUAGGUAGCUUAACCUUCGGGAGGGCGCUUACCACUUUGUGAUUCAUGACUGGGGUGAAGUCGUAACAAGGUAACCGUAGGGGAACCUGCGGUUG